rnacentral:rRNA from 1 species
UACGUAGGGGGCGAGCGUUGUCCGGAAUUAUUGGGCGUAAAGAGCUUGUAGGCGGUUUGUCGCGUCUGCCGUGAAAUUUCGAGGCUCAACCUCGAACUUGCGGUGGGUACGGGCAGACUAGAGUGUGGUAGGGGAGACUGGAAUUCCUGGUGUAGCGGUGAAAUGCGUAGAUAUCGGGAGGAACACCAGUGGCGAAGGCGGGCAUCUGGGCCAACACUGACGCUGAGGCGCGAAAGCUAGGGGAGCAAACAGG